rnacentral:tRNA from 1 species
GCGCUUGUGGUGGAAUUGGUAGACACGCAGCCUUGAGGUGGCUGUGCCGUAAGGUGUAAGGGUUCGAGUCCCUUUGAGCGCACCA